rnacentral:rRNA from 1 species
GACGUAGGGGGCGAGCGUUGUUCGGAAUUACUGGGCGUAAAGGGCAUGUAGGCGGCUCUGUAAGUCCGGCGUGGAAGCCUGCAGCUUAACUGCAGGAUUGCGCUGGAAACUGUGGGGCUUGAAUCAUGGAGAGGGAGCUAGAAUUCCAGGUGUAGGGGUGAAAUCUGUAGAGAUCUGGAAGAAUACCAGUGGCGAAGGCGAGCUCCUGGCCAAUGAUUGACGCUGAGGUGCGAAAGUGUGGGGAUCAAACAGG